rnacentral:rRNA from 1 species
GACGAACGCUGGCGGCGUGCUUAACACAUGCAAGUCGAACGGAAAGACCCUGCUUUUGUGGGGUGCUCGAGUGCCGAACGGGUGAGUAACACGUGAGUAUCCUGCCCUUGACUUUGGGAUAACUUCACGAAACUGGGGCUAAUAUCGGAUAGGAUCUCCUGCUCCAUGUUGUGGGUUGGAAAGUUUCGGCGGUUGGGGCUGGACUCGCGGCUUAUGCGCUUGUUGGUGGGGUAGUGGCUUACCAAGGCUUUGACGGGUAGCCGGCCUGAGAGGGUGGACGGGCACAAGGGGACUGAGGGAGGGCCCAGACGGGUACGGGAGGCAGCAGGGGGGAGUAUUGCACAAUGGGCGGAAGUGUGAUGUGGAAGCGCUGCGUGCGGGAUGACGGCCUUCGGGUUGUAAACAGCUGUCGCCUGUGACGAAGCGUGAGUGACGGUAAUGGGUAAAGAAGCACCGGCUAACUACGUG